GAAAAACCUCUUGCAGUUCAAUGGAAAAAAGACUUACACGGAAACCGAACUUGAUGAAGUGCGAGUUGAAUGGAUUAAUUUCGUACUAAAGAAUAUGAGUUGAAAUCCAAUGAGAUGAAGAGUCAGUGUGAUGAGAAAAUGUUCUAUUUCGUCUUUUGUCAGAAAUUCUUGGAGAAAUGCAAAAUAUGGUCAAAGAAUUUAAC